GCCGCGUGUGUGAAGAAGGCCUUAUGGUUGUAAAGCACUUUAAGCGAGGAGGAGGCUCUUUUGGUUAAUACCCAAGAUGAGUGGACGUUACUCGCAGAAUAAGCACCGGCUAACUCUGUGCCAGCAGCCGCGGUAAUACAGAGGGUGCAAGCGUUAAUCGGAUUUACUGGGCGUAAAGCGCGCGUAGGCGGCCAAUUAAGUCAAAUGUGAAAUCCCCGAGCUUAACUUGGGAAUUGCAUUCGAUACUGGUUGGCUAGAGUGUGGGAGAGGAUGGUAGAAUUCCAGGUGUAGCGGUGAAAUGCGUAGAGAUCUGGAGGAAUACCGAUGGCGAAGGCAGCCAUCUGGCCUAACACUGACGCUGAGGUGCGAAAGCAUGGGGAGCAAACAGGAUUAGAUACCCUGGUAGUCCAUGCCGUAAACGAUGUCUACUAGCCGUUGGGGCCUUUGAGGCUUUAGUGGCGCAGCUAACGCGAUAAGUAGACCGCCUGGGGAGUACGGUCGCAAGACUAAAACUCAAAUGAAUUGACGGGGGCCCGCACAAGCGGUGGAGCAUGUGGUUUAAUUCGAUGCAACGCGAAGAACCUUACCUGGCCUUGACAUAGUAGAAA
rnacentral:rRNA from 1 species